AAACUUGAGCUAAUACCGGAUACGCCCUUAGGGGGAAAGAUUAUUGCCGAAGGAUUGGCCCGCKUCCGAUUAGYUAKUUGGUGAGGUAAUGGYUCACCAAGGCGACGAUCGGUAGYUGKUCUGAGAGGAUGAUCAGCCACACUGGGACUGAGACACGSCCCAGAYUCCUACGGGAGGCAGCAGUGGGGAAUAUUGGACAAUGGGCGCAAGCCUGAUCCAGCCAUSCCGCGUGAGUGAUGAAGGCCCUAGGGUUGUAAAGCUYUUUCGCCAGGGACGAUAAUSACSGUACCUGGAUAAGAAGCCCCGGCUAACUUCG
rnacentral:rRNA from 1 species